rnacentral:piRNA from 1 species
UUUCCAACACUGUACGAUGCCUC